AACGAACGCUGGCGGCAUGCCUAACACAUGCAAGUCGAACGAGACCUUCGGGUCUAGUGGCGCACGGGUGCGUAACGCGUGGGAACCUGCCCUUAGGUUCGGAAUAACUCCCCGAAAGGGGUGCUAAUACCGGAUAAUGUCUUCGGACCAAAGAUUUAUCGCCUUUGGAUGGGCCCGCGUUGGAUUGGCUAGUUGGUAGGGUAAAUGCCUACCAAGGCGACGAUCCAUAGCUGGUCUGAGAGGAUGAUCAGCCACACUGGGACUGAGACACGGCCCAGACUACUACGGGAGGCAGCAGUGGGGAAUAUUGGAAAAUGGGCGGAAGCCUGAUCCAGCAAUGCCGGGUGAGUGAUGAAGGCCUUAGGGUUGUAAAGCUCUUUUACCCGGGAUGAUAAUGACAGUACCGGGAGAAUAAGCUCCGGCUAACUCCGUG
rnacentral:rRNA from 1 species